GGGGCUGUAGCUCAGCGGUAGAGACCCUGCCCUGCAUGCAGAAAGUCCCAGGUUUGAUCCCAAGCAUCUCCU